GAAGCUGGAGUUGCUAGUAAUCGCGAAUCAGCAUGUCGCGGUGAAUACGUUCCCGGGCCUUGUACACACCGCCCGUCACACCAUGAGAGCUGGCAAUACCCAACGUACGUGAUCUAACCCGCAAGGGAGGAAGCGUCCUAAGGUAGGGUCAGCGAUUGGGGUGAAGUCGUAACAAGGUAGC
rnacentral:rRNA from 1 species